CCUUUUAAGGAGAAAGGAAGUUUAUCUUGGCUGAGACUAUUUAACCUCCUCUUGUGUGGGCAAAGGUGGGGGGUGCAGGGCUGCAUGCACCAGGACAUGCAGGUCUGGGGCUGUAAGAGGAAUUUUAAUUCAGAAUGUGGCUGCUCCAGCAAGAGAUCACAUCCAAAGAUCUUCUAGGUCUGUGUGAUCCAGCUGGAGUACAAACACGCCUUUCAUCCAAGAGACAGAGGCAAGCAGAUCUGAAUUCAAGGCCGCCCGGCAUGGAGCAAGUUUCAGGAAUCUUGGUACACAUUUAAUCCCAAACAAUGAAGGUGAAGUCAGUCUGUAAAAGGAGGCACCCAUGUUUGGAGGUGAUAGUCUAAAAUUUCUCUCAGUGGGAAUAUAUAAAAACAAAGAAGAAACAAAAUCUGAACCAUGUCCCUUCAAGCCAAUGACAAGCUGUGUCUAAACAGAAGUGGCUCCCUGAAGACAUUCUUACUUCAGUUUUAAAGUCUGUUCGUACUAUUUUCAUCCAUCUAUCUAUCCAGUCGUUUAUUAACUUAACAUGUUGUGAAGGUUUAUUAUGUAGUAGACCUGAAGGCACAAAAAUGCCUAUGAUGAAUUGUCUCCUGGAACAAAAGUAGGAAGUCUUGAAAGGAAGAAAGAGAAACAUGAGGAAAAGCUUCUACUCUGAUCUCUGCAGUGACAAGUGACAGCAGCACAUGCCAGCUACUCUGAAAGGAGAAAAAUGUCCUUCUGCGACGUCUUCUCCUUUGAGGCUCAUCUUCAGAUGACUAAAACUUCCUAGAUGAAUGGGCAUUUGAGUUGAGGCCUUUAAAGUGAUUUGGCAUGAGUGUGGCCUGAGGGUGCUGAAUCUGAACAUGCUUCCAUGGACAGUGAACUGCCGCCUAACUCAGCACCUAAACUAACUGGAAGCCUAAUCUAGGGGCAUGCUAUGUAAGAAGUGACUGUCAGCCGACUGUAGCAGCUGGGCUCCAGUCACUCACAGACAACCAACUGAUCAGACUGUGUUCCAAUGAGGUGAGCCAUGACCUGGAACCACUCAAGCUGUCACUGCACGUCAUUUCUGUAUUCUGUACUCAUCUCCAUUUUCUUUCCAUGGAUGCUGUCUGACUGUGACAAACCAGAGUUCUUCGAGCCGGUUCUGGGUCAUAGAGAUGGCCUGAUUUGAACAUGCUGAAUAAAAGCCACAUGUUGUAACUGUC